rnacentral:rRNA from 1 species
CCUACGGCGUGCAGCAGUGAGGAAUAUUGGUCAAUGGGCGCGAGCCUGAACCAGCCAAGUAGCGUGAAGGAUGACUGCCCUACGGGUUGUAAACUUCUUUUAUAAAGGACUAAAGUGAGGCACGUGUGCCUUUUUGUAUGUCCUUUAUGAAUAAGGAUCGGCUAACUCCGUGCAAGCGGCCGCGGUAAAAGGGAGGAGCCGAGCGUUAUCCGGUUUUAUUGGGUUUAAAGGGAGCGUAGAUGGGUGGUUAAGUCAGUGUUGAAAGUUUGCGGUUCAACCGGUAAAGUGCAAUUGAUACUGGCUGGCUUGAGUGCAGAUGCGGUAGGCGGAAUGCGUGGUGUAGCGGUGAAAUGCUUAGAUAUCACGCAGAACUCCGAUUGCGAAGGCAGCUUACUAAACUGCCACUGACACUGAUGCUCGAAAGUGUGGGUAUCAAACAGGAUUAGAUACCCCAGUAGUC